rnacentral:piRNA from 1 species
UUGCAUUUAGAUUGAUAAGUGUGUGCUGU